CCUACGGGGGGCAGCAGUAGGGAAUUUUGCGCAAUGGGCGAAAGCCUGACGCAGCAACGCCGCGUGAUCGAGACGCCCUUCGGGGUUUAAAGAUCUGUCAGUUGGGACGAAACUUGACGGUACCCACAGAGGAAGCACCGGCUAACUCCGUGCCAGCAGCCGCGGUAAUACGGGGGGUGCAAGCGUUGUCCGGAAGCAUUGGGCGUAAAGAGUACGUAGGCGGCACGUAAAGUCAGGUGUUAAAGGCAGUGGCUCAACUUCUUUACGGCAAUGGAUACUUGCGAGCUAGAAUGCGGUAGAGGUAAAGGGAAUUCCUGGUGUAGCGGUGAAAUGCGUAGAUAUCAGGAGGAACAUCGGUGGCGUAAGCGCUUUACUGGGCCGUAAUUGACGCUGAGGAACGAAAGCCAGGGUAGCAAAUGGGAUUAGAUACCCGGGUAGUC
rnacentral:rRNA from 1 species